AGUGGGGAAUUUUGGACAAUGGGCGCAAGCCUGAUCCAGCCAUGCCGCGUGCAGGAUGAAGGCCUUCGGGUUGUAAACUGCUUUUGUACGGAACGAAACGGCCUUUUCUAAUAAAGAGGGCUAAUGACGGUACCGUAAGAAUAAGCACCGGCUAACUACGUGCCAGCAGCCGCGGUAAUACGUAGGGUGCAAGCGUUAAUCGGAAUUACUGGGCGUAAAGCGUGCGCAGGCGGUGAUGUAAGACAGUUGUGAAAUCCCCGGGCUCAACCUGGGAACUGCAUCUGUGACUGCAUCGCUGGAGUACGGCAGAGGGGGAUGGAAUUCCGCGUGUAGCAGUGAAAUGCGUAGAUAUGCGGAGGAACACCGAUGGCGAAGGCAAUCCCCUGGGCCUGUACUGACGCUCAUGCACGAAAGCGUGGGGAGCAAA
rnacentral:rRNA from 1 species